GACAGAGGUGCCGAGCGUUAGGCGGAAUCACUGGGCUUAAAGCGUGUGUAGGCGGAUCGUUAAGUGCCUUGUGAAAUCCCACGGCUCAACCGUGGAACUGCUCGGCAUACUGGCGAUCUUGAGCCACUUAGGGGCUACCGGAACAAAUGGUGGAGCGGUGAAAUGCGUAGAUAUCAUUUGGAACGCCAAUGGUGAAAACAGGUAGCUGGGAGUGAUGCUGACGCUGAGACACGAAAGCCAGGGGAGCAAACGGG
rnacentral:rRNA from 1 species